rnacentral:rRNA from 1 species
UACGUAGGGUGCGAGCGUUGUCCGGAUUUAUUGGGCGUAAAGGGCUCGUAGGCGGCUUGUCGCGUCGGGAGUGAAAGCCCGCUGCUUAACGGCGGGUUUGCUUUCGGUACGGGCAGGCUGGAGGACGGCAGGGGAGACUGGAAUUCCUGGUGUAGCGGUGGAAUGCGCAGAUAUCAGGAGGAACACCGAUGGCGAAGGCAGUUCUCUGGGCCGUAACUGACGCUGAGGAGCGAAAGCGUGGGGAGCGAACAGG